CCCUUAGAUGUUCUGGGCUGCACGCGCGCUACACUGAAGCGUUCAACGAGUAUUCACCUUGCCCGGGAGGGUUGGGUAAUCUUUUCAAAACGCUUCGUGAUGGGGAUAGAUUAUUGCAAUUAUUAAUCUUCAACGAGGAAUGCCUAGUAAACGCAAGUCAUCAGCUUGCAUUGAUUACGUCCCUGCCCUUUGUACACACCGCCCGUCGCUCCUACCGAUUGAAUGAUCCGAUGAAUAUCAUGGAUUGAGGAUUAUAGCAGGUUCGCCUGUCUUGAUCUUCGAGAAGUGAAGUAAAUCUUAUCAUUUAGAGGAAGGAGAAGUCGUAACA
rnacentral:rRNA from 1 species